rnacentral:rRNA from 1 species
UACAGAGGGUGCGAGCGUUAAUCGGAUUUACUGGGCGUAAAGCGUGCGUAGGCGGCUUUUUAAGUCGGAUGUGAAAUCCCCGAGCUUAACUUGGGAAUUGCAUUCGAUACUGGGAAGCUAGAGUAUGGGAGAGGAUGGUAGAAUUCCAGGUGUAGCGGUGAAAUGCGUAGAGAUCUGGAGGAAUACCGAUGGCGAAGGCAGCCAUCUGGCCUAAUACUGACGCUGAGGUACGAAAGCAUGGGGAGCAAAC